rnacentral:rRNA from 1 species
UACGGAGGGUGCGAGCGUUGUUCGGAAUUACUGGGCGUAAAGGGCUCGUAGGCGGCCAACUAAGUCAGACGUGAAAUCCCUCGGCUUAACCGGGGAACUGCGUCUGAUACUGGAUGGCUAGAGGUUGGGAGAGGGAUGCGGAAUUCCAGGUGUAGCGGUGAAAUGCGUAGAUAUCUGGAGGAACACCGGUGGCGAAGGCGGCAUCCUGGACCAAUUCUGACGCUGAGGAGCGAAAGCCAGGGGAGCAAACGGG